UGCAGAUUAAGGCCAAAGACUAGACAAUGGAGCUGCGUUUUCGAAAGACAUUCAAGGAACCGGAUAUUCUGGGCUUCAACAUCAACGAGGGUGAAGGUGAAGGCUCAUCUUCUUCUUUCUUGGGCAUUGACAUAAAUCGAAAAAAAAAACUGAGAACAUAAAUAGAGAAAAAAAAAUCAGAUUUCAUAGCAGAAACGAAAAUAAAAGCGAUUCGCCGAUAACAUAAAUGAACAGAACACAAUUUAUAAAUGAACAUAAUACAAUUUAUAAAUGAACAGAUAUAUUCAGAUUUAAUGAACACAUAAUAUCCCCAAAAUUCCAAAAUUGCUCAUUCAAUUUGACGAAAAAGAAAAUAGCAGUGAUGAUUCACCCUUGCUCAUAAAACACUAGUUUUAACAAAGAAGACUUUUUGCAAACAAGGAAAACCAAGAUUUACAGUAGUGUAUUUUGGACAUAGCUUUCGAAAGGGAGUGGGCUACUUCCCUGCUCUGGAAUCGAGGAGGACAACGCGACGACGAAGCUUCCAUCACGCGUCGGGGCUCGAAGAAUCGCUGAAGAUGGCGGACCUUCCCCUGGUAUCGAAGCUUUCUCAAGGGAGGAGAAGACCUCCGGCGCGUAGGCAUCGACGUCGCCAGAGAGAAGGGCGCAGCUUUGUCGGAUUUCGACAGAGACGGCGACAAUCUUCGAUUUGGGAGAAACUAGGGCUCGAUGUGGAAAGGAAGAAACUCGCCUGUGAAUUCGGAGGGGAACUUCAGAGAGAGAUUGAUGUGGACGAAGGAGAAGCGGCGAAGCGCCGACUCGCCGGAUUGCGGAGCGGCGGCGGCGGGCGCCUCGACGAAAGGCGGAGCUAGAGAGAGAGAGAGAGAGAGAUAUGGCAGAGUGGAAUUUUCAGAGAGAGAUUGAUGCGGAACAGAUAUAUUCUUCCAUUUUUUGUUAAUCUACAAAAGUUACUCAAAUACCCAUUAGUAAUUAAAUUGG
rnacentral:lncRNA from 1 species